UCUCCCACUCUUUCAUUGAAAACUUCUCCUGCUUUGUUUUCUGUUUGUCUGGUGUUGUUGCAGAGUGAGUGUUCUGAGGUGCCACAAGCUUCCAUUAGAGACAUAUCUUAAUCAGCCUCCACUGCUGACUGAUUUUCCCUUAAAAAACUUUUACUCCUUGCCGCAAUUACGUUUAGGAUAACGUGAGGGGAAACAAGCCGUCUGUUCUCGACGAUUACUAUUCCGGCUGGUAAGAAGUCUUCUCGGGUGGUUUCACGGAAGAGGAAAUGUCUAAUAUAUGAUGAACUGAUAAUUCCAAGCAAUGUAGAAUUAUGAAGGAAAUGACAGAAGACACAAAUACAUUGGUCAUAAAACUGAGAAAGGUUCCUCAUACUGACUAUCAUGAGAGAAGAAUCAAACGUUUUGCUGAUCUAUCAUGAAGUUCAGGGGAAAAAAAUGGGAAGAACAUUCAAGCUGGUUGAUGACCAACUUUGUCCGUGGUUUUUGGCAUUGCAGGUUUCACACAAACGAGCUAGAAAUCUACUCUUACUUGUGUGGCUGCUUAUGGUAUAGAUAAAAAAUGUUGUAGACCUGCAUUACUUAUUUAUGUGAUAACAUGAAGCUUUUUUUGUUUCACUUUCUAGCUAUUGCUUUGUCAAACUUUGCAUUUUGUUUUCUUGGCUUGGGGUUGUUUCUUCUACUGCAAACCGAGGUUUUAGUAAGGAUUUUUUACUAUGUAAUACUGAUUCAUUUCGUAGUUA